GGUACAUAAAAAUUUGAGGGAAUGAUCUUACUUGAAUAGUCGUACUCAUAACCGCAGCAGGUCUCCAAGGUUAGAAGCCUCUAGUUGGCAGAAUAAUGUAGGUAAGGGAAGUCGGCAAAAUAGAUCUGUAACUGCGGAGGCAACGAAGUGGCUCCAGGAUAGCGAACGCUGGAAUGGGUGGGACGUCUUCAUCGGCUUUCCUUGAAUAAUUAACAAUUAACUCAGAACUGAAGCGGACAAGGGGAAUCCGACUGUUUAAUAAAAACAAUAGCAUUGUGAUGGCCUGAAAAAGGUGUUGACACAAUGUGAAUUCUGCCCAGUGCUUUGAAUGUCAAAGUGAAGAAAUUCAACCAAGCGCAGGUAAAACGGCGGGGAGUAACUAUGACUCUCUUAAGGUAGCCAAAUAGCCUCGUCAUCUAAUUAAGUGACGCGCAUGAAUGGAU
rnacentral:rRNA from 1 species